rnacentral:rRNA from 1 species
ACACUCCUGCGGGAGGCAGCAGUGGGGAAUUUUGGACAAUGGGCGCAAGCCUGAUCCAGCCAUGCCGCGUGCGGGAAGAAGGCCUUCGGGUUGUAAACCGCUUUUGUCAGGGAAGAAACGGUUCUGGCUAAUACCUGGGACUCAUGACGGUACCUGAAGAAUAAGCACCGGCUAACUACGUGCCAGCAGCCGCGGUAAUACGUAGGGUUCAAGCGUUAAUCGGAAUUACUGGGCGUAAAGCGUGCGCAGGCGGUUAUGCAAGACAGAGGUGAAAUCCCCGGGCUCAACCUGGGAACUGCCUUUGUGACUGCAGGGCUAGAGUACGGUAGAGGGGGAUGGAAUUCCGCGUGUAGCAGUGAAAUGCGUAGAUAUGCGGAGGAACACCGAUGGCGAAGGCAAUCCCCUGGACCUGUACUGACGCUCAUGCACGAAAGCGUGGGGAGCAAACAGGAUUAGAUACCCUUGUAGUCCCAUGA